AUGCCAAUGUUAAGUGUACAUGCAGUGCCUGUGCAUCAACAAUAAUGUGCAUAGUUCUGAUCUAACUUAUUCUAAUCAUAAUAUGGUUAGUUUCUACUAAAAUCAGAUGCUAUAUGCUUAAUAUGUAGCUCUGUUUGACAUUUUAUAUCGGGGGUCCUCGCUCCAUGUCUCUUUCGCCUAAUGGGUCCACGCCCUGAAAAACGUUGAAGACCCCUGCUUUAUAUGAUCAACAGAUUGAAUUUAGGCUUUUUAUUCCCAUAUAAAUAUUGAUCCGCGAAUAUAAACCGAACUUGCUUGACAUGAGUGAACAAACUUCUAGCAGAAGCUCAAAUGUGCUGAGUAACACGAGAAUGAAUGAAACGAAGGAACGUUACAUUUACUAUUAAUCUCUUUAUUUGUUUAUCACCUUGACUACGGUGUGCUUUAUGGGUUAUUAUCCACCUCUCCCUUUACAUUCAGGGUAAAUCUAGGAAAGGUUAUAUUUUUAUUUUGUAUUUGUUUGGGGGUUCGUUGUAAUUUCAAAUGAUAGAGGUUUGCAUGAAGUGCAGCUGAUCUUAUCUUUCUUCAAGAAAUUCAUUCAGGGGAAACAGAUUUCAAGUUUUGGAAGAUGCAAUGGGGAAACUCGAUUUUCUUUAGCAAUGACAGCAGCCACUCACUUGGCUAGGACUGCCAUUAUGUUACAUCGGUUUAAAAGAACUGUUAGAAAUGUUGAUCUCUGAUAAAGGUAGAUGGGUUUGUGCUGUAAUAAAACAAGGUUUACUUUUAUAGCUUGUUGUGUAUAUGGAGACAACUUUUGUGCAUCCAAUAUAAUAUAUAUAAUAUUAUUAAGGUUGAAAGUUAUUAUAAAGUGUAACCAAAGUUUAAUAAACACAUUGGCCUACUGACCUUAUAAUGUUCAUGUUUCUGUACUCUGUUCCUCUCAUUUACCUUCUGAACUAACUCUACUGGGUUAUGAUCAGUUAAACACGCCCUUUAACACACACUGAAUCAAAGUGAAAGUGAAACUGACAGUCACUUUCAUGAUUUAACUUACAGCGAUCAAACAAUUCCUGUUUCUUCUCUGUUCAUGGUAAUUUUCUGCUAAAACAGAUUCAGAAUGAUCUAUCAGGUCCUCAUCAACUUUACUGACAGCAAGAAUAAAGUAUUAGAAGUGGCGGAUUCAUUAGAAGAGUUUAAUUAAACCACCAUCAGAGAACUGAAGGAGAAAUUCAGAGAGAAGAUUCCUGGAGCACCUGAUCUAGAUCUCUUACGGGUGAUUUUUGGAAGAGAUCCACUGGAAGACCAUCAAACACUUGAGUUUUAUAACAUUAAACAUUUAUCUCUUCUUCUCUUUCUGAUGAAAAUGCCCGGUGGAGGAGGAGGAACAGACCCUGAUGAAGGAUUUCCCAGAUCUGAUUCCAUGGAAAGAUUAUCUUACAACAUGUAGAUGUGUUAGACUCACAAGACAUUCAGUCAAAAUAGUUGAAUAUUUCACAUAUUGCUGGUCAUAAGAAACACUGUAUCAUCCACUUCUGUCACCAAUCUGGAUGGAUGAACAGAGUUACUGUAACUGAGGAGUGUAUAUAAUUUACUCUUAGUUUACCAUGAAAAAUGUCCUUUUCUGCUGAUGUGGCUUUAAAUAAUAAAUGAAUGAACUAAAUCAAUGAUCCAGACUGAUUGAAGCUCUUCUGCUGAAUAGCUUGUGUUCCAGCAGAAACUGAUUUUUACUGUUCAGGUGUUUCUGUGAAGUUUGAGGAUCCAAACUUUUUUUUAUAGAUUUUUAUAAUUACCUUAUUAAAUGUAUCAGUGUUAUCUUUUCAAAGCUUUGAAAAUGAAAAUAUGAAAUGAUACUCUAAUUAUGAAACGGGAAGCAAGUCUUAAUGAGUGAGUCAUUGAUUCAAACGAUUCGUUCGAACGGCUGAUUGACUCCAGAACGAGUCAUGAUUGAUUAUGAGACACAGCUGAUCCGAAUUGAGCGUUUCUCUUUAUUCAGUGAGGUUUGAUCUCCUUAUAUAAGAAGAUCUGGAGGUGUUCCAGCUGGAGAUGUGCAUAUGUGUGAUUAUCAUUUGAAGAGCUGGAGAAGCGAUUCACAGUAUGGGCCAGAAUUGGCCAGGAGCUGUUCCCGGAGGGUUCCGGAUGGAGUAAGAAGGCGGCGAGGAGCUGAAGAGAGGGCCGCUGCUGGAGAAGAGAUCAAGCCGAGGAUGGCCAGCGUUCAUGGAGAGGAGCUAGUGGAGCAAACGGGCCGCCCCAAUGCUCAGAGGUUUAGCUAUCGAGUGAAGAUGGGGGGCGCACCUUCCUCCCCAUGAGCACCUCCAGCAAAAGGCAGGCCAGAGAGGAGCAAGAGUAGCAGUGGCUGUCCUGGUGGGCGAGGCUGAGAGGAAGGCAAGAACACCACCCCCUCAGCCAUUCACCAGCUCCUCGCUGCCUUCAGCGUCCACCAGAAGUUGAUGGAAAUAAAGGGACAUGUCCUCCUCCUUCACCACCUUUCUUUUUUUUUCUUUUUAAACAUUGUUUGUAUAACUAUAUUAAGUGGGCUUCACAUUUUUAACUAUAAGAAAAUUACUUUUAUCCAUUUGUAUUUUUUUUUUUUUACCUCUUUUAUUGAAGAUUUUGUCAGUUUUAGAAUUUUUUUUUAUUUUAUUUUUUUUUAUUCACUUUCAGAUUCACCUUUUUAAACCAUCUGUUUUUAUAACAUUUAUAUUAUGUGGGUUUCACAUUUUUAACUAUUUAAGAAAAUGACUUAUCCAUUUGUAUUUAUUGACUUUUACCUAGUUAUUGAAGAUUUUGUAUUUAUGCCGGUUUUAGAGUGUGU